rnacentral:rRNA from 1 species
AAUAGAUACCCGGGUAGUCCACGCCGUAAACGAUGAGUGCUAAGUGUUAGAGGGUUUCCGCCCUUUAGUGCUGAAGUUAGCGCAUUAAGCACUCCGCCUGGGGAGUACGGCCGCAAGGCUGAAACUCAAAGGAAUUGACGGGGGGCCCGCACAAGCGGUGGAGCAUGUGGUUUAAUUCGAAGCAACGCGAAGAACCUUACCAGGUCUUGACAUCCUCUGACAACCCUAGAGAUAGGGCUUCUCCUUCGGGAGCAGAGUGACAGGUGGUGCAUGGUUGUCGUCAGCUCGUGUCGUGAGAUGUUGGGUUAAGUCCCGCAACGAGCGCAACCCUUGAUCUUAGUUGCCAUCAUUAAGUUGGGCACUCUAAGGUGACUGCCGGUGACAAACCGGAGGAAGGUGGGGAUGACGUCAAAUCAUCAUGCCCCUUAUGACCUGGGCUACACACGUGCUACAAUGGACGGUACAAAGAGCUGCAAGACCGCGAGGUGGAGCUAAUCUCAUAAAACCCGUUCUCAGUUCGGA